rnacentral:sRNA from 1 species
AAAAUAAUUAGUGAGCGAAUUAAAAUCGGAAAGAUAUUAAAAUACAAGACAUGAACAAAUUAACCCAAAUAAAUUUGUAGAAAACCAUUACUGGUUUACCACGCAACAAACCUAAGAUUGGUCAUAUACCAACUAAAUAAAGUGAAAAACGUUAUUUUCUGUAUGCACGACCCUACACUUGUCUUAAAUUUAAGAAGGUUUUGUUUAGGACUAAUACAAGAGGGGAGGCAGAAAAAGGAGUAUUGGGUCUAAGAGGCACCGCAAGAAGGAGACGAUCUUUAUGUGCUG